rnacentral:rRNA from 1 species
GACGAACGCUGGCGGCGUGCCUAAUACAUGCAAGUCGAACGCUUCUUUCCUCCCGAGUGCUUGCACUCAAUUGGAAAGAGGAGUGGCGGACGGGUGAGUAACACGUGGGUAACCUAUCCAUCAGAGGGGGAUAACACUUGGAAACAGGUGCUAAUACCGCAUAACAGUUUAUGCCGCAUGGCAUAAGAGUGAAAGGCGCUUUUGGGUGUCGCUGUUGGAUGGACCCGCGGUGCAUUAGCUAGUUGGUGAGGUAACGGCUCACCAAGGCCACGAUGCAUAGCCGACCUGAGAGGGUGAUCGGCCACACUGGGACUGAGACACGGCCCAGACUCCUACGGGAGGCAGCAGUAGGGAAUCUUCGGCAAUGGACGAAAGUCUGACCGAGCAACGCCGCGUGAGUGAAGAAGGUUUUCGGAUCGUAAAACUCUGUUGUUAGAGAAGAACAAGGACGUUAGUAACUGAACGUCCCCUGACGGUAUCUAACCAGAAAGCCACGGCUAACUACGUG